GCAGCGGCAUGGUCCUGGUUCCAUUUUUGUUGCUCUUCUAGGAGUCGUCCAUGUUCUGCUUGCGUGUUCUGGAUGUCGAGGAGAGUGUUGUCGGUGCGGGUGAAGAAAGCACCGGCCUCUUGAUAGUAGUCAUUCGUGAAAGCGUAGGAGGCGUCGGAGUAUCGUCCUGCAUCAAAUUGGGGUGGAGGUCUGGAUCCUGAAGCUCUAUAUGGAUCAGUGGAGUACCUGCCCGUAUGAAAAGGCGGGUUUGUCCACUGGUGGUCUUGGCUCUCCGGCCAUGUCUCCUGUGUAGGCUCGUGUGGUUGCGCAUGUCGAACCCUUGGGUCUCGAAGGACUCGGGGGUUGUAGUCGCUAUAAUGCAGGUGCGCUGCUUCUUCUGGUCCGGGAUCAGCUCCAUACCAGGUGUUGGGUAUUUUAAACGCAAACAGGAAAAUCCGCAAGCGCACGGAUACCGAUGUAGCUUUCACCCGGGAGUAUUCCAGAGUAUCGAUUUUCCCCAGAGAACGUGAGUGUACUAAUUAAGAUCCAAGAUCGCCCAAGGAUAACUAUAUAACUAUUUUUGGUGGGAAGAGAGGAAGUUUCCUGAGAGUUCUCUAGUUGAUCUAAGAAUCAAGAAUUACUUCAAGAUUAUCUAUUUCGGGACAUCAGAACACUAACCAUAGAAAGAGAUGAGAAGGGGGCUAGGAAGCUCAGACUACGGUCCUACAAACACCGAUCCGAACGAGGUGGAAUACGUCGACCGUUAGGGCUGUCACUACCCUAAGGCUACCACAACAAUCCGUAGGAUUGGGUGCAAUUCCAGGUAAUUGCAAGACUAAACACCACGUCUAAUCUAUUAAUUACUACUCUAAUGUUUCAAAGAUUAGAGCACUUGAUGCAAGCGAGAAUCCAAUAAAUAACUUGAAUGUAAAUAAAAGUAAUUAGAGAACUCAGGAGUCAUGAAUUGAAGAACCUGG
rnacentral:lncRNA from 1 species